UCGAACUGUAGAGUUUGAUCCUGGCUCAGAUUGAACGCUGGCGGCAUGCCUUACACAUGCAAGUCGAAC
rnacentral:rRNA from 1 species